CUGAACUCUGGCCCCAUGACUUAGUAAAACCACUCGGCAGCAAAAAGAAAUGAUUAUCUGAUCUCACCAACUGCGAUGUUCUUCCAUUCCCAAUCCAGAGACACAGAGCCUGUCUCCAGGGAGGACAAUGCAAAGUCAAUCAUAUGAUUACAGUUCUCAGGAUUCCUGACUGUUGGUCAUGCUGGCUACAGCAUAGCUGAAUUGUAAUUCAACACAUCUGGAGGGCACGCACCAUAUUGGAUAUUUGACACCCUCCCUCCCAUCAUUUUACAAACAUCUUGGAAAC
rnacentral:lncRNA from 11 species